rnacentral:rRNA from 1 species
AUGAAGACUUGUAAGACGGCAUCUAUGUGCACCCCAGCGGAGGAGUCUCAAGGCAUACAUGUGUUUGAUAUCUUGGGUUACAGCAAGCACAAGGGCAUGGGCCACCAUGUGGACAGCCACAUACGCUCAGGGGUUUUCUCUGUCGGCGGCCAUGACUGGGUAAUCUUCUUCUUCCCUGACGGUUAUACUGAAUAUGACCUGGAUUACAUCUCAGCUUUUCUCGUGCUUUGGAGCAACAACACUAAAGUCCGGGCAUCCUGCGAUAUGAGGCUGGUUGAUCAGUACACCGGAUUCUCAUCUUCGGUGCAUAAAACAGGACCUAGAAUUUUCAAUUCUGGUGAUAUUAGCAAGUUUGCUCCACAGACUACUUGUUUCAUAACGCACAAUGAGAUCGAGGGAUCCGCGUAUCUUAGGGAUGAUCGCCUGACGAUCGAAUGCGUCGUCACUGUUUUCCACAAACCACAUGUUACCGAAACAAAAUCAUUCCCUAAAAUCGGCAUGCCACCAGCUGACAUGACCGAGGAUGUUGCCAAGCUGUUGGAAGAGAAGAAGGGAUUCGAUGUCAGUUUUAUUGUCGCGGGAGAGACCAUUGAAGCCCAUAGGUUUGUUCUCGCUAUGCGGUCACCAGUUUUCAAAGCAGAGCUCUAUGGGUCGAUGCAGGAGGCGAAGUCGGGGCAAUGCAUAACCAUCAAGGACAUGCAAGCUGCUGUUUUCAAGGCCCUGCUCCAUUUCAUCUAUACGGACUCUUUGCCUAGCCGUGAGGAUACUGAGAUGGUUCGGCUUCUACUAGUGGCUGCAGACAGAUAUGCAAUGGAUAGGCUCAAGCUGGUUUGCCAAAGCAUACUUUGUGAGGAUCUGAACAAGGACACUGUGGCAAUCACAUUAGCUUUAGCUGACCAACAUAACUGUCACCAGCUUAAGGACGCUUGUCUUGAAUUUAUCGAAUUAUCAAAUUUCACGGAUGCUUUGGUGGCUACACAACGGUUAAAAGAUAUCAAGAAGACUUGCCCAUCUUUCAUAGUGGAGGAAUUGGAGAAGAGAAAAAAGCUUCCUAAAGCAUGA